CCGUAAACGAUGCCAACUAGCGAUCCGCCGGCGGAUUUCUCGCCCUGGUGGGGAGCUUCCCGGAAACGAAAGUCUUCCGGUUCCGGGGGAAGUAUGGUUGCAAAGCUGAAACUUAAAGGAAUUGACGGAAGGGCACCACCAGGAGUGGAGCCUGCGGCUUAAUUUGACUCAACACGGGGAAACUCACCCGGGCCGGACACCGCGAGGAUUGACAGAUCGACAGCUCUUUCUUGAUUCGGUGGAUGGUGGUGCAUGGCCGUUCUUAGUUCGUGGAGCGAUUUGUCUGGUUUAUUCCGAUAACGAGCGAGACUCUAGCCUGCUAAAUAGUGCGCGCAUUGCMUCGUGCGYGCCACUUCUUAGAGGGAUUGGCGGCUCCCAGCCGCACGAAACUGAGCAAUAACAGGUCUGUGAUGCCCUUAGAUGUCCGGGGCUGCACGCGCGCUACACUGGCGAAGGCAGCGUGCCUGUCCUGCCGCGAAGGCGGUGGGUAAACCAUGGAAAAUUCGCCGUGAUUGGGAUCGGAGAUUGCAAUUAUUCUCCGUGAACGAGGAAUUCCAAGUAAGUGCGAGUCAUCAGCUCGCGUUGAUUACGUCCCUGCCCUUUGUACACACCGCCCGUCGCUGCCCGGGACUGAGCCAUUUCGAGAAAUU
rnacentral:rRNA from 1 species